UUAAAUUGAAGAGUUUGAUCAUGGCUCAGAUUGAACGCUGGCGGCAGGCCUAACACAUGCAAGUCGAGCGGAAACGAGUUAUCAGAACCUUCGGGG
rnacentral:rRNA from 1 species